AGUGAACGCUGGCGGUAGGCCUAACACAUGCAAGUCGAACGGCAGCACAGUAAGAGCUUGCUCUUACGGGUGGCGAGUGGCGGACGGGUGAGGAAUACAUCGGAAUCUACUUUUUCGUGGGGGAUAACGUAGGGAAACUUACGCUAAUACCGCAUACGACCUACGGGUGAAAGCAGUGGAUCUUCGGACCUUGCGCGAUUGAAUGAGCCGAUGUCGGAUUAGCUAGUUGGCGGGGUAAAGGCCCACCAAGGCGCCGAUCCGUAGCUGGUCUGAGAGGAUGGUCAGCCACACUGGAACUGAGACACGGUCCAGACUCCUACGGGAGGCAGCAGUGGGGAAUAUUGGACAAUGGGCGCAAGCCUGAUCCAGCCAUACCGCGUGGGUGAAGAAGGCCUUCGGGUUGUAAAGCCCUUUUGUUGGGAAAGAAAAGCAGCAGGUUAAUACCCCGCUGUUCUGACGGUACCCAAAGAAUAAGCACCGGCUAACUUCGUG
rnacentral:rRNA from 1 species